rnacentral:rRNA from 1 species
GCCCCGCGGAGCAUUAGCUAGUUGGUAGGGUAACGGCCUACCAAGGCAAUGAUGCAUAGCCGAGUUGAGAGACUGAUCGGCCACAUUGGGACUGAGACACGGCCCAAACUCCUACGGGAGGCAGCAGUAGGGAAUCUUCCACAAUGGACGAAAGUCUGAUGGAGCAACGCCGCGUGAGUGAAGAAGGUUUUCGGAUCGUAAAGCUCUGUUGUUGGUGAAGAAGGAUAGAGGUAGUAACUGGCCUUUAUUUGACGGUAAUCAACCAGAAAGUCACGGCUAACUACGUGCCAGCAGCCGCGGUAAUACGUAGGUGGCAAGCGUUGUCCGGAUUAAUUGGGCGUAAAGCGAGCGGAGGCGGAAGAAUA